UGACCUCAGAUCAGGCAAGGCAACCCGCUAAAUUUAAGCAUAUUAAUAAGCGGAGGAAAAGAAACUAACAAGGAUUCCCCUAGUAAUGGCGAAUGAAGCGGGAACAGCUCAAAUUUAAAAUCUCCGUUGCUUGCAACGGCGAAUUGUAGUUUCGAGAAGCACUUUCUCGGCGGAUCCGAGGUCGUCCAAGUUGCUUGGAACAGCACGUCGUAGAGGGUGACAACCCCGUCUGCGGCGAUCUCGGCCGUUCACGAUGUGCUUUCGACGAGUCGGGUUGUUUGGGAAUGCAGCCCAAAAUGGGUGGUAAACUCCAUCUAAAGCUAAAUAUUGGCACGAGACCGAUAGCGAACAAGUACCGUGAGGGAAAGAUGAAAAGCACUUUGAAAAGAGAGUUAAAAAGUACGUGAAACCGUUAAAAGGGAAACGAAUGGGGUUAGCAAUGCGUCGUGUGAGAUUUAGCCGGUGGGUGGGCCAGGCGGGCGGUUGGCGGAUCUGAAUGGACCGCUGCCGUUCGGGUUGGUUUCCCGACCGUCGCACUUCUCGCAGGCGCGCGCCAACGUCGGUUAGGGCUGGGUCUCAAAGGCGGUGGAAAGGUAGGUUUGGACUCUCGGGCCCGAACUGUUACAGUCCUCCGUUUGUCAUGGCCCGGACCUGACCGAGGAGCUUGCGGUGCAUGCCGUUCGGCUAGGGUCCCGUCUUCCCGGUCGGUCGUCGAAUGCGGUGGACUGCGUGCAGUGCGCCGCGACUGCUGCCGGUCGCGAGGGCGGUGAUUUCGUACUAUGCACCCACGACGUUGGCGGUCAUAUGGCCUCAUCCUACCCGUCUUGAAACACGGACCAAGGAGUCUAACAUGUGUGCGAGUCUUUGAGUGACCGAAACUCCGAGGCGUAAUGAAAGUGAAGGCGACUUCGGUCGCUGAGGUGAGAGCCUUUUUCCAAAAAAAGAAGGCGCAUCAUUGACCGACCUAUUCUACUCUUAGAAAGGUUUGAGUAAGAGCGCAUCUGUUGGGACCCGAAAGAUGGUGAACUAUGCCUGAAUAGGGUGAAGCCAGAGGAAACUCUGGUGGAGGCUCGUAGCGAUUCUGACGUGCAAAUCGAUCGUCAAAUUUGGGUAUAG
rfam:Nematostella vectensis strain CH2 x CH6 NEMVEscaffold_310_Cont23318, whole genome shotgun sequence.